GACCCCCUCGGUGUCGUAGCUAACGCGUUAAGUGUUCCGCCUGGGGAGUACGCACGCAAGUGUGAAACUCAAAGGAAUUGACGGGGGCCCGCACAAGCGGUGGAGUAUGUGGUUUAAUUCGAUGCAACGCGAAGAACCUUACCAGGGUUUGACAUCCUGCGAAUCCCUUGGAAACUUGGGAGUGCCUUCGGGAGCGCAGAGACAGGUGGUGCAUGGCUGUCGUCAGCUCGUGUCGUGAGAUGUUGGGUUAAGUCCCGCAACGAGCGCAACCCACGUCUUUAGUUGCCAGCAUUUAGUUGGGCACUCUAGAGAGACCGCCGGUGAUAAACCGGAGGAAGGUGCGGAUGACGUCAAGUCAUCAUGCCCCUUACAUCCUGGGCUACACACGUACUACAAUGCUACGGACAAAGGGUUGCAAACUCGCGAGAGCUAGCUAAUCCCAUAAACCGUGGCUCAGUUCAGAUCGUAGGCUGCAACUCGCCUACGUGAAGGAGGAAUCGCUAGUAAUCGCAGGUCAGCAUACUGCUGUGAAUACGUUCCCGGGCCUUGUACACACCGCCCGUCACACCAUGGAAGUUGGCCACGCCCGAAGUCGUUACUCCAACCCGUAAGGGAGGAGA
rnacentral:rRNA from 1 species